UACGUAGGGGGCAAGCGUUGUCCGGAUUUAUUGGGCGUAAAGAGCGUGUAGGCGGCCAGGUAGGUCCGUUGUGAAAACUGGAGGCUUAACCUCCAGCUGUCGAUGGAAACCAUCUGGCUAGAGUCCGGAAGAGGAGAGUGGAAUUCCUGGUGUAGCGGUGAAAUGCGCAGAUAUCAGGAAGAACACCCGUGGCGAAGGCGGCUCUCUGGUACGUGACUGACGCUGAGACGCGAAAGCGUGGGGAGCAAACAGG
rnacentral:rRNA from 1 species